rnacentral:rRNA from 1 species
AGCAGCCGCGGUAAUUCCAGCUCCAAUAGCGUAUAUUAAAGUUGUUGCAGUUAAAAAGCUCGUAGUUGAAUUUUGGGUUUGGCCAAUUGGUCCGUUCUUGUAACGAGUACUGGUUGGUUGGGCCUCACCGCCUGGUGAUACGUAAUGUCCUUUAUUGGGUGUUGCGAGUAGCCAGGACCUUUACCUUGAAAAAAUUAGAGUGUUUAAAGCAGGCUUAUGCCGGAAUACAUUAGCAUGGAAUAAUAGAAUAGGACGAUGAUUCUAUUUUGUUGGUUUCUAGGAGCAUCGUAAUGAUUAAUAGGGAUAGUUGGGGGCAUUAGUAUUCAAUUGUCAGAGGUGAAAUUCUUGGAUUUAUUGAAGACUAACUACUGCGAAAGCAUUUGCCAAGGAUGUUUUCAUUAAUCAAGAACGAAAGUUAGGGGAUCGAAGACGAUCAGAUACCGUCGUAGUCUUAACCAUAAACUAUGCCGACUAGGGAUCGGGCGAUGUUGUUUCAAUGACUCGCUCGGCACCUUAUG